rnacentral:sRNA from 1 species
CAGCUGUCAAUACAGGAAUUCAUCGUGGGACUUGUGCUGAAUUAGAAAAAGCUUUGCAUUAAGAGUUGAUCCAUUUACCUUGUCGCCAUCACACCUUUGAGCUUGUUUUGAAAGGUGUAUUUGAAGUGUAUUGGCCAGCCUCUUCAGGCCCAAACGUUCAGUUUUUUUCCAGUUUUAAGAAUAAUUGGUAUAGUCUCAAUAAAUCCAAUUUCAAGGUUGGAAUGGACGAUAGUACUGUUAAUGAAGUAUUAUCAAAUAGCAAACAAACAUUAGUAACCUUGAUUCAAGAAAAUUUACGGGUUUGUCAACCAAGAGAUGACUAUAAAGAACUUCUGGAGCUAUCGCUGAUUUUUUUGUGAGAAAAGCCAGAACCGAACUUUACGUUUAAAUAUCCUGGUCCAGUUCAUCACGCUCGUUGGAUGGCGAAAGCCAUUUACUAGUUAAAAAAUUUUAUCUUCAGAGAAGAAUUUAAACUAACAGCGCGAGAAUUCAAUGGCUUACGUGAAGUUUGUAUUUUUCUCGUUAUUUUUUUUUUUAAUUUAUUUAAAAGCUUGGUACACUGCUCCAUCUGCGAUUCUGGCACCAUACAAUGACCUGACCUUCAUGCAAGACUUAGUUGAGUAUAAAACUGUGAACAGCUCCGUAUCAACAGUAGCUUGUUCAAAAAUGAAAAAACACCUGUGGUAUUUUAGUGAACAGUUGUCCAUUAUUUCUCUUUUUGAUGAUAAUGUGCCUCUACCCACGAAACAGAAAAUGAUUCAAGCUUUGAAUAAAAAAGAAAUAAACACUGAUCCAAAAAAAAAAAUGAAAUUGAGCCAGGAAAGUCCGACCAAUUCUUAUCAGUAGAUUUGAGUGACUUUAUUUCGAAAAAGUCAAUGACUAUAUUUCAAACAUUCGAUUUACCUACUGACUUCAUUAACAAAAAUGUGGAAUCUUGGUCACAGGAUGAAAGCUAUCAAGAGAAUCAGGAAUUUUUUAAGGGUCUCAAAGUGGUCAAUGAUGUAGCAGAAAGAGGUGUUGCUUUAAUAGAGGAGUACAACAAAUAUCUUAAUAAAAAUGAAGAACAAUUGCAAUAUUUAUUGCAAGUUGUUAAAAAUUACCAACAAAAAUUUCCCGAUUG